UUCGUUAAUUCGUCGGCUUAGACAAGAACGACAGCGAGUUUGUUGGGUUCGCGCUUUUUUUAUAUAAGACGUGGACUACUUUCCAAGGAUCCUGUAAAGGAGCUACUGGUAGUACAAUUAUUGAUGAAACACAAAAUUAUUCGUAUAGCGCACAAGCAGGGUCACUUCUCAAUAAAUAAAACCCAAGAAGCUCUUGAAAAUACUUCUUUCAUUUCACAGUUGAGCACCAAAUUGAAGAAAGUCGUAAAAAUUUGCGUCGAGUGCAUUGUGACAGAUUCCAAGUCAGGACCAAUGGAGUAAAGGAAAAAGGCAUCUAACUAUAAUCUUGUCAUAGCGGAUGAUUUUCAAAAAACUUCUGGGAGCCCCAAUCUCUUCAAAGAAUGCUGUGAGAAACAAGGCAUAGAUCAUUUGCUUAUCCCAACUGUUCCGGGUAGCACAAGGUAUUCACCUUUUAAAAUUUUGACUGGGUUAGACAUGGUAACAACGGGUUCGAUUGAGUUUCAUGAGUUAAUAGACGCAGAAUACGAAGCGAGACGCCGACAAGCUAGCGAAAUCAAAGCAUGUAUACAGAAGGAAAAUAAACGUUAUUUUGAUAGAAAAAAAAAUGAGGCCACUAACUAUAAACUCAAGGACUUACGUUUCAAUUAGGAAAUCGUGGUACAGAAUUUCACUUUCCUGACAGCCUAAUUCGUACGGUUAGUACAAUUUGGCUACAAGUGUAUACAACAGGUGCUUACACAAAACGUUACGUUUAGUUGCCGAUCAACGAAAGAAGUGGAAGAUGCACUGCGUACCAUAUUUGGCCUCUCGGAACUGGAACAUCUCAAUUUUGCAGUACAAAUUUUAACGGUUUUUGGGUACUGGAAUAUUAUUUGCCGUUUUGCCACUGCCGAUUACAAUUUGACUGAUAUCACCUCGCCGUCGAUUAAAUAGUGACACAAUGGACGUUAAUGAUCCAGCAUCGACUUCCGCCACCUUGAAUACCGACGUUAAGAAACUGUCACUGCCACCAUUACUGCAGGCACAACCAGUGUCCCUUCAAUUGCUUCUACCUCUACUGGAACAGUUAAUUUUACCUCAAAUGUCACGAGUUGUACCACAGCCUGAUUUACAGUUGCCGCCAAAUACAGAUCGUGUUAACAAAUUCUUAUAUGCAUCAGAGUGACAAUCUAUCAGUGAAUUAUAAUACGCCCAUUAAUGCCAACAUGGAUUCUGUAACCACACACUCGUCCUACUUACCUAGGCAAAGGCGAGCCUUGCUGGAUUUCUGUGGGAAAGCAGAAGAUUGGCCGAUGUUUUACACUGCUGUCCCAGAACUCACCGCCGUCUAUGGUUGCAAAUGCCAGAUCAAUCUCAACCUUAUCCUCCCAACGGAGUGGAGGUCUUCCUCUUCUUUUGCUUCCGCAAGUGGGUAUUGCAUCGAACACUUUUAAAGCCGGAGUUCUUUCAUCUAUUUGGACGACACGACCUAGCCAGAAUAGCCAUAUCUCUUCACUCGCUGAACUAUGCCAAUAUCAUCGUAUAGCUCCGUUGCACCAUAUAAUAGGACCGGUAUGAUGAGCGUUUUCAUUCGCUGAGAGAGGACUUUACUUUUCAAUUGCCUACUCUGUAGAAACAAGGCCCUAUUGGCAAAAUCGAUUCUGCAUUGGAUAUUUAGGCUUACGUUAUUAUUGGUGUUUAUCCUGGACCUAGAUAGACGAAAUUAUCUACGAAUUCCAUUUAACGACUUUCAACAGGGACGUGAUAGCCGAGUCGAAAAUGCGGUGACUGUUUGUCUGGGGAAAGUCACAGCGCGAUUGUUGAGGCCAAUAAUGUCGAUAUCAACGGCCUACGCCAGCAGCUGUACAAAGUGCUACACUAUAAAGAGUCUUCUUAUCUGAAACCUCGUUUGGUAGCGAAUGGCUUGCAGAGGUCCUUCCGGAUCUUGAUGGAGCUUGUAGUGCCGCUUAAAGUCAGCUUACACAGACGUAUAAGCUUUGUGGGGAUACCAAACUCAGAUAUAGCGUCGAAGACGGCUUUAAAAUCGACGAAAAGAUGAUGUGUCUCGAUCCUCUUUCCACGCGUCUUCUACAAGAUUUGGCACAUAGUGAAUAUCAGGUAAAUGGUUGACUUACCAGAUCCGAAGACACACUAAUAAUAUAAAUAUAUAUAAUUUUCCGAUCUUUCGGAAUCCAAUAGUUUCGUUUAUAUGAAGGAAGCUUGAGAUGCCACAGUUCCCUUAUGCUGGGUUGCUGGUGAGUGCUCUCAGAGAGCAGGUAUGCUACUCGAGUAGAAAACUGCUCGGCAGUCUUUCUGAUUUCCGCUUUUCAACGUUUAACCUUCCUUGUGAUUGUUGACUGGCGCUCUUCGAUCCACAGAAGUACGUGCCAAUCUUCGCUUCGAGAAGGUAGUGAUCUGAUUCGAUGUUAGAACCUCGGAACUUACGCACGUCUAAAACACUGGAGACAUGUCUUCCGUCAAUCACAAUAUCUUUGAUCUGGUUUUGUGUUUUUCGAUCAAGGGACACCCAAGUAGCUUGAUGCUUUUUUUGUGCUAGUACUACAAACAACCAUAUUUCGGGCCACGGCGAGGAGGAUCAACCUCAACGCAUUGGGGGAUGUUUCGUAGUUCGAUCGAUAGUCGUACCAAAAAUACCUUCGUUUCUUACCCUAGAGUUGAGGUCCCAAGCACAAUUGUGAUGUCGUGGCAGGUGCAGCGCUCAUAAGUGCGCUCGUAAAAGGCAUCUUUGUUUUAAGUCGUCCUUCUCUCCCGCGUGGACGCCAAUUAGCAUGAUGUUAAAUAAUUUUUUUGACGCGGAUUUUAGCGAGACAUUCAUCCAUCGGAGUGAAUGCCAGUUAUCGUCGACGGAGUCCUUCUCCCACCACAAGCACCAAAUUUGCGAUCUUGUAUAUGAUACAAGGCCCAAAAUUUCACAAGGAAUCACUUUUUUCGGUCCUUGCCCCGUUCAUCGCAACUGGGCGGCGGUGAUGUCAGCCUUUAACUUUAUGACUGUGCUUAAUUUUAUCGAACAACUGAAAUUGAAAUUUUUAAGGACCC